AACGAACGCUGGCGGCAGGCUUAACACAUGCAAGUCGAACGCAUCCUUCGGGGUGAGUGGCAGACGGGUGAGUAACGCGUGGGAACGUGCCCUUCAGUUCGGGAUAACCCAGGGAAACUUGGGCUAAUACCGGAUACGUGCGAGAGCAGAAAGAUUUAUCGCUGAAGGAUCGUCCCGCGUCUGAUUAGCUAGUUGGUGGGGUAAUGGCCCACCAAGGCGACGAUCAGUAGCUGGUCUGAGAGGAUGAUCAGCCACAUUGGGACUGAGACACGGCCCAAACUGCUACGGGAGGCAGCAGUGGGGAAUAUUGAACAAUGGGCGCAAGCCUGAUCCAGCCAUGCCGCGUGAGUGAUGAAGGCCUUAGGGUUGUAAAGCUCUUUCGUCCGGGACGAUAAUGACGGUACCGGAAGAAGAAGCCCCGGCUAACUUCGUGCCAGCCGCCGCAGUAA
rnacentral:rRNA from 1 species